CGUGCCACCUCGUCGGGGUCGAUCAGCUUGAACUCCCCAUUCGUGCCUUCCCAGGCGAUGCAGUUCAGGUUGGCCCGGUCCGAAAGCAGCUCCAGCAGGAACUGCCACAGCUGGAUCUGUCCGCUGCCUGCAAGGCCGAGCCCCGGAGAGGUUAAAGCUCCCUCCCAGGGCACAAGAUGCAGAAGAUGGUAACAAGGUUAUGUCUCCUUUGCAGCAUCCCUACUCCAUCCUGCCCCUCAGACCCAAGAAGGAGAUGUCUUGGAAGCACUCAGACUUAACCCAGCACAAAUAUUCCCCCCACUGCCACAUCUGCUUGAAACUGGGCUCGUGUCACAGCACAGCCUCUGCUCUAGAGGCAUUGUACCCUGUGCUGAUGUCUCCAUGAUGAGCUGAAGUCAGGGUGCAACACUGAUCUGAACUACACCCCAGAGAGGCACAGAUAAGUAUAGGAGAGGGAGAGAGGAGGACAGAGCAGGACCUGCUGUGGCUUUGA